AAAAAUAUAUGCUCAACAUCACUGGUCCAGGAAUUGCAAGACUAUUAUGACCUAAGAGCAGAGAUCUCUCUACGUCGCUAUGUCUUAUAGAAGGAACAGCUGAGUUUCAGCAAGUAAGACCACUUCAACCAUGACAGAAGCAACAGCUGAUAUGAUUCCUCCAUCAAGCUCGGAUAAAUGGUCGAAAUGGUAUCUCUAAGCCACAAAAGGAAAAAAGGUUCCUGUCCUAAUGUAUAGACUGACCCAGCAAGUUAGGAAGGGAGAUAAUCUCCAUCACUUGAAAAUGAGGGCAUCCCGUCCACGUCCAAAUCGGCUCCGCUCUCCUAGAUCUCAUCUAGAGGAAUAAUAAGAGUUCGGCGUUAUCACCUGAGGUAUGUGCUUGGAAGAGCUCGCAUUCUAGAUCAAUGGACCUCAUAGCAUUAAAUGGCAUUGAUCAUGUGUUCAAGCCGUCUCUAACAUCAUGUACUUUUUGAGGACUAUCUCUUGAACAAAUACCUCUAAACCCACCUUCAAGCAUCACCUGCCAGCAUCACCCGCCAUCACGCGCGAGGGGGCACCCGGGGUUCGGGUCAUGAUAGUCACGUACUAACCCACAUGAAUUGUCCAAAGUGUGGAUCCGAUAGUUCCAUGUCCCAUGCCCAACUCUCAUUUUCCUAAGAGUUAUCAAGCACAUAUUUGCAAAUAGAAGCCCCAAGAGGAAAAGAAAAUAUCAAGAAAGCCAAGCUAUCUCAACAAACUAAAAUAGACAGAGACGGUUAAAAGAUGAAAAGCUAUCAAAGUAACAAGGAAGAAUCAUCUGAGAUAUUCAUUCCCCAAUUCCAUGGCCUCCAACUUUUUCUUUACCCUCAGCAGAAGAGUUGCUUCCCAUGAAUCCUACAAUAACAAAAGAUCACCAGCAUCAGCAACAAAAGGAGUGUGCGAUCACAAAGACCACCUAUAUUCAUAUGCUAUAGCCCCAAAACCCCAUAAUGAAAGUUUGAUCUUUCCAAAAGAACAAUGACCAGGGAGAAGCUACAUAUCAACGCCAAAAGCACAGCACUUUUGUUAUUACUUCAAGAACCAAAAGCAGAGAGGGCAAACGCCAAUUUGCUUUCAUACUAUCUAGAUAAUCUCAUGACCAAUGUGAUGAAAUGAUCUUUGCCAACACAUAAGAAGGAGAAGCAAUCUGCAGAAAGGCCAAUUAGGUAGUAACAUGAGCAUGAGAGCAUUUUACCAAGGGAGUUAUGUCGGUAAACUCCUUCACAGCAUCACUCAACUUCACAGCAUCUACUUUGUCAAUUGCAUCAGCGAGGUCCUGGAAAAAGAAAGGAAUUGUCACCUCUAAUAACCAACCACAGCAAGUUGCAAAGUAAGAAAGACAACAAGAUGCAUUUUUGUUACGUGAAAAACAAAAUACUAUACAUCGAAAAGAUAAAAGGAACUAGAACCACAUCUGUCGGGAACCACGGUUCAACAUCGUGAGGAAGUAAAAUAGAGGAGUACGGAAAGUCAAUUUGAUAUAAAGGUCAAAAAGGCAACACACAGACAAAUGGAGAAGGAACACCAUCAACAGGUAAAACCUUUAGGAAUCUGCAUUCAUGUGUUUCGGAGAAAGUUGGAUCAAGUUCCUGCAAAGUCAAAUGCGUAUCCAUGAGUUCAGUCCAAGAAAUGAGGUAAUUAAGUUAAUGACCAGAAACAAGACCUGAUAGCAUGCCAAUGCAUUUUCUAUAGCAACUAUAUCGACCUUGGAGACUUGGCAAAGGCCAGCAUGCAGAAGACGUUUUCGCGGUGCAAACUUCAAACCUUCUUGAAGAUAAUAUAAUGCUAUUUCCUCAUAAAUCUCAGUAGCUUUCUGAUAUCUGAAAAGCACAACAGAUAGAAUAUUCAGUAUCCCCUUAAGAAUCUUCAAGUAACUUCAGUAACACUACACAAUUAGCCUAUGCUUCCUAUAUUCGUGUUCAGCUGAACAUCCUUCAUCUUCUUUUUCCUACGUAAUAUGUGCAUUGUACACAGGCAUAUACAUAAAUCACAUGUCUGCAUAUGAUGGAUAUUUUGUGUCAAUCAAGAAGCAACAGAUGAACAUACACGCAAUGCAACAAUAUCACGCGCCAGACAACUGACAAUUUUUAAACCCUUCGUACAUGACAAUACAAAUGAAGGUGCAAGCAUAUAAGCCAGCAAUAAGCCAAAAGAAAAUCUUUAGCCAAACAAAUCUGAACUGAAAUCAGCAAAAUCAAAGUUUUCUCCCUAAUGUCAGCUAUGGAAAAUCAAGGUGCGUAUAUUAGAGCCAAAAAAGAGGAUAAACAAUAUUUCAUAAAUUGACUUGAUUAUGUUGCCGUGUCAAACAGCAUUAGCAUCUACCAAUGCCACUUCCUAAAGAAAAGUAGGCUUACUGCUCUAGUUGAGCUGCAACCUGUGCAACCUUCUCCUUACACUCGUGGACAAACAGAAUCAAUUCUUCACUUUGGAAGAGGUCAGCUGCCCUCUCAAAAUAGUCAACAGCACGUUCAAGGUUCUGCUCAGACUCAUAUAACUCACCAAUAUCCUACACAACAAAAUCACAGGUCAAUGGAGGCUGCCUCAGUCUGGGAGAACAUAAAUCAAUGAACUAUUGUUUUCCGACGUCAACAUCCUGACAAUGUUGAACAAAUGCAACUCACCCACUGAAGGUACCUUAUCCCUUUGCUGGCAUCAUUAGUCAAUGAACAAGAGAAAGAACAGAACCAUCAGUAACCAGUUCAUGUCAUUGUAUUCUCCGAAAUUACACCAGAAUUGAGCAGUCAUACUCUGACCUCACAAUAGAGCGACCACCAGAGUCUAAAUCGAUUAACUAUUGGGUGCUCAUCGUGGAUGUCUCAUCACUUCAGUAGAUUAACUUCCACAGCUAAAAUAUCCAUAAAUACUAACAAUGCUCAGCGAAGUCACAUCUAUCACAAACACCAGUUCAUUCCACCUGAUUAAAGUCUCCCCAAUGUCAUUAUCUCAAGGCAAUAGCAGCCUGUAGUUGAUAACUUUCAUCAAACCAGACCUUAUUUCAAGAAAUCCAUCCAUCAGGUGCAUAACAAAAAUGAGCAUGCUUUUUAAAUCCUAAAAGAUACUUGGUUUCAUAGAAAGGGAAAGUCCCUGAAAACAAUGCCCCAAUACGAUGGUUCAUAAAAAUCAUGGUGAGCUAGGAAUAUCUCACAAGGCAGAUACUGCUGAACCGUGUUAAUGCUCAGAGUGCUCUCACAAGGUCGUGUAAAUGCAGGAUUGAUUCAGACUGAUGAUAAAGAGAAAAUAUGCACCUGGUAAUAUCUGGCAGCCCUCCCUAUACUCCCUAUAUGGAUGAGCACAUUCACAGCAUGCUCCAAGCAAGUUAUAGCCUCUACAUAAAAAAGGAAUACUUCAGACAAAGAUCAUCCAUAUCUUGUUUAGACAAAAGAAGGAAAAAGGCUUGGGAACAAAGAAUGAACUGAAAAAGGCAUGCUUGAUACUUACAGGGAGAUAUGCAACAGAAAUAAAUAAAAUAAAUCAAGUGAACCGCAAGGGAAAGGCUGUAAUGUCCAUCGGCCAGAGAUUGCUAACAGCCCAAAGGACACAAACACUGAGCCAAAUGGAGCCACCUUACAAAAUCACUAAGAUACAUGCUACAGAUCUCAUUUAAAAUAUGAUGGAUUCAAGAAGGUUUUGCUAAAGCCUAGACAGAAACAUCCAAAUGGUUAGAGACCAAGGAACUCUUUUACUGAGGAGUAAAUAAUCUUCUGGUCUGUUUGUGUUAUCUUACAUCAAGUAUCAACAGACGCAUACCCUUGGAGGAUGUUUUCUUGUAGCAAUCGGCAGCAAAGACAAAAGUCAGGAUAGCUCCAUAAGUAUUUUUACCCUGUUGCAUGAACCAGUUGUCAAGUUAGGCCUAAGAGAGAAGCACAUUAUCUGGUUCUCAGUCCUGGAAAAGGUCGGCACUUGCCUUUAACUGACACUUUGCUGACUCCAUAUAAGCUGAUCCAGCUCUGUCCCCUGAAAUAUUAACGAGAUUAAAAACAUUAGCGAGCCAUAGGUUGCUGAACUAGGCAUGCCCUCUAAAAGCUAACUUAGAUAGCCACAAUCCACAAAGCUCAUGGAGAGCCAAGCAAGAUCCACGGCUAUUUAAAAGACCAAGAUCAAUAUACAUCAAUCCUCCAUCGACAUAGAGUGAAUCGAAUUGAUAUAGCACAGCGGAGAGAUUGAAAUACAAGAUUCGGCGAGCUUGAAGCAAUAGGCGGCUUGGAAGAAGAGAUCGGCGGCCCCCUCGACCUUGGCGAACUUGGAACCCCACCAUUCACAGCUGUUCAACUUCUUCUCUGCUUUCCUCUCGUAUUCUUCUCCUCUCGCCAAAUGAUCGCCCAUUUCUCGGUUCUCGAUCGCCAAGUUCUUGAAUCAACGGCCAAUGGCGGGAUGUUAGUGAUGUUUGAAUACUUACUUGAUGCUCUAUAUAUCUAUAUGAUCGACCCUUUUUUUUUUCGCCAUGUUAGAAUACUCACUUGAUUCUGUAUAUCUCUAAAGAUCAUGCAUAUAUCUUAUUUAUACUGAAAAUCCUUGAUUGAUCAUAUCUGGUAUUAUGUUUUUUUUAUUACCUUAUAUAGUCAUCUAAUAAAAAGACUCCAGGCGCAAUGCCCGUCUAUUUACCUUCUUCUCUGCUUUCCUCUCAUAGUGAAAACAUGAGAGAAAGAUAGAGAGAAAAAGUCACAAAGAACCUCAAAUUAUAUCCACCGCGAAUUUUUUCUUAUGACAUAAAAAACUCAAAACUUGUACCUAUGUGGCGCAUUUAUUUUCCGUCAAGAUUCUAUUAGAUGAUUCUCAGUCAAAACAUUGUUUUCAUUUCGCUUAAGCUACAUUAGAUAUUGUCGAUCAACUAGUUCUUGAAUCAACGGCCAAAGGCGAAUGAAUAUGGGUUGUUGGACGGCGGUGGCGGGUGAUGUCCUUGAGCUUGCGGAGUCACUGGCGAUGUCGGGGAAGAGGAUGAGUGGCCGGACUAGAUGCGGAAGGUGAGGAUGCUGGAGGAGGAGAGGGAGGUUGGAGAGAGGUUGGAGAGAGGCUGGAGAGAGGGUUAAACAGUGAUUAUGUUUCAGAAAAUAAUUUUUUUAUUAGAAAUGGUCUUUUUAUAUUCUGUUUCCGAAAAUAAUUUCUGAGUAAAAAAACGCGCUUGAUAACUAUUCAAAAUUUAUAUUCCUGAAAUAGAAAUGUGUUUGGUAUGAUUCUUAAAUUUUUUAUUUCUUUUAAUUUUUUAUGCUUUUAUUAUUUUUUUUUUCUUUUUUUUCUUUUUCUCUUCUUCCUCCUUUUUUGUAGCCGGUCACCGGCCAUGACGAGAUUAGGUAAGCUCGCUUGAGGCUCGCUUGGCCUAGGCUAGGUUGAGCCUCGGCGGUGGCCAAGCGAGCAUCGUCUGGCCACCGAUGAGGCUCAACUUCGCCCAGGUAGCAUGAGGUUGGGGCUGAGCCUCAAUGUGGCUCAGCGUCGCCAAUGCCAAGCGAGGUUGUUGGCAUAUGCCAAAAGGAAAAAGAAGAAAGGGGAAGAGAAGAAGAGAAAAGAGAAGAAAAGAGGAAAAAAAACAAAAAAAACAAAAAUAGGAAUUGAUUUUAUGAAUUGUUCCUGAGAAUAAGAAGUUACUUUUUUAUACUUCUUAAUUAUGUUUCAAAAUUCUAGGAAAAUUUUUUUUUCCCACGAACAAAAAAUUUACCAAACAAUUUUUUUUUUUUUUUUUCAUUCUAGAGAACAAAAGAACAUAAAUAGUUGUUUUGGGGAUGGUUACCAAACAAGGCCUUAGCUGCCGAUUAUCAAGGACCUAAGGCUUCAUUUGGUACUCACAAUAAAAUUCGUGAUAGGAUAAAUUUAUCUUAUUAUGAGUUUGAUGCAUGUUUAAAAUAAGAUAAAAUUAGAUAUAAAAUAGAUAAAAUUAUUUUGAGAAAGAUAGGAUAAAAGUGAAUAAGAUUUUUAAUAUUCAUAAUAAGAAAAUUAUUUUUCUCAAAUAACAAACUAACAAAUUUGAAAUUAUAUUUCAAUAUAAAUAAUAUUUUAAUUUUAAUAUAAAAUUUUAAAAUAACAAAAAAUAACAAUUUAUUUUUUAAAAUAUUAUUUUUAUUUAUAUAUUAGAAUUUAAUUCUAAAUUCAAUAUAUAAAUAUAAAUAUAUAUUUAUAUUUAUUAUAUGUCGCGAUCCGAUCUCGCCACCAAUCCCCUUAUCGUGAGGAGAAUGAGAGGUAAGGUCGAGUUUAGGGAUACUUGAUAACAAGAAUUCCUACACGACUUGCAUUCCAAAAGACAUUAUCACCUCGCUUUUUGGAUCAAACUCUUUGUGAGUUCCCUCCACGAAUCACGAGCUCUCUUAAGCUUGUAUUCUGCAUGACAGCGGAGUAUCGCGACCCAUACCCCACACGGGUUACACAUCUCGAGAGAGGAGGUCAGGUGUAAAUAUUAGAUUUAAGAGCACUUUUACCAUAAUAACACCCAUAAAUAUAGCAUCACUUUAUCCUUUGGGGUAUUAUCAUAUUGAGUAUGCUAAAUUAUAGUGAGUUUCAUCAAAACCCAUACUCCUCGCGACGGGUACAUAUAAAUGGUCUAGUUGUUUUUUAAAACAACAUAAAAAUAAAUCAGCAGUUGCCACUAGUCUCGUUUCGGGGGUCCGCUAGAAAAUUGGUCGAGAAUGUUUUCUCGAUUUUUACGAUCAGAUAUUUAGAUUCUGGGACUUGGGUUAUAUUAAUAUCUCUAUUAGCGUAAGAUUACUAUGUGAAUAUAUGUACCCCUCUGACAACAAUGCAGAUUAUUUAUUCACUACUUUCUUUUGGGAAACAUCUGCAGGUCAAGGGAGUUGUAUUUUUCCUGGAAGGCGAGAAAGAAUCCUGCUGCUUUUUUUGUUCAUUAGCUUGUAUUCUAUCGACUUGUUGCGGUCUUGCUUAUUUUAGAAAUUAUGAAAUGCUUCUUGAAUUCCUAGUGAAGUGAAAACUUAAGAAUUAUUUUGCAGCAAGAAGGUGAGCAACACGACCAAGCAGGUUGUGAACUCCACAGCCUCAAGUGGUGCAACUGAAAGCUCAAGAUUUUUCAUCUUCAGCAGCAACGGAAGAAGAGCAAUUGACAAGGCUUUAGGAUCUGUCUUCUCUGUACUUUUCUCAUUCUUGUUAGCGAUUGCUCUGUGGACACCAAGCUGAAAUACAUAAACAUAAUAACAGCUCCUUCCGACCGUAUUAGCAUAACGUUUUUUUUUUUUUUUUAUUGAUCAAUUAUUUUUUGAUGUAAUUAGCACCUUAAAUGGAGUGCCUUUUUCCCUGAGCAGUCAACGUCAGAAAAAUUCGCUGCACUUCUCCGCUAAAGCGAGCGUGUGUCAAUCUUUUUUAUCAACCUUUGCCUAAAGUAAAAUGUUGAGAUAUUGAUUGAUUUUAAAGCUAUGUUUCUCGGGCAACAUUGUUGAUGGUUUUUUCGGAUGGGACAUUUAAAAGAUGGGUUCUUUCAAUCAUCUUCUGCUCUGACUUUAUGCUGGUGUGUGGCCCUCCACGUGUGCAAUUGGCAUCUAGCAUUUCCUAGUGAGAUAAAGGCCCCGUUUGGUUGGACUUUCCCAAGGGGCUUUGGGCCCCGAAAGCCCCUUGGGGAAAAAAUUUUGUGUUUGGCAAAACUUUUGAAUGCUUCUUGGUGGAAUGUGGGCAUUCCACAAGUUGAAAGCCCAAUGCUAGGGUAGGGCUGCUUUCAGCUUUGGCAUUCUGAGAGUUACUGUUCAUUCUUCUUCUUCACCGUCUUCCUUCCUCGUUCGGUUCUUCUUCCCCGGCCUGAGUUGGCCGAGUUUCGCAGUUGACGGCGCUUAGCCGCAAGCGGGCUGCCGGGAUGCCUCGCCUGAGGUCAGGCGACCUCGGGCAUUGCCUGGGUCGAGUGACCCAGGCGACGCCCUUGGUCGCGCCUGAGGUCGAGCAACCCAGGCAACGCCGCCUGAGGUCGCGUGGCCUCAGGCGGUGUCGCCUGGGUCGCUGGACCUUAGGCGACGCCGCUUGUGGCUGUGCGACCUCAAGCGGCGUUGCCUGAGGCCGCGCGACCUCAGGCGACGCCCUGGGUCGCGUGACUCAGGGCGUCGCCUGAGGUCGGCGCCACCGAGGCGACCUCAGGCGAGCUGCUCCCCGCCACCACCACCGCCACUGCCUCCCCGCCACCACCAGCGCCACCGCCACCAGCCGCACCCCCAUGAUCACCAGCUGCAUCUCCUCCUCCCUUUUCUUUUUUUUCAUUUUUCUUUUUAUUUUGAAAUAGCUUUGCAAAGCAUACACAAAAAAUUGAUUUCCAAACACACUUCCCUUCCCAAAAUGCUCAUUCUCUCAAGGAUACUUGGGGAAAUGCAAAGGUUGAACCAAACGGGGCCAAAGUCUAGACAAAGAAGCUACGAAUUGUAUUUCACUUGUAAAUAAAUAUCAAAUCAAGGGAGAAGAUCUCUAUAUAUACAAAUACAAGACUUAUUGUAGCUGUAGAUCUCUUCUCUAUUUAACGGUAGUGAUUCAUCUUCUUAACUAUUCAAUACUUGCAUUUAUUAUAACAGUAUAUAAUUACUAUAUCGCAUGUCUCGGGAAUAUUUAAUACUUGAGAAAUCGAGAGAAAUAAUCGAGGAUUGAUUGUUUAUGGAUUUGUCACGGUCCUUCAUAUGGAAACCUUCUAGAUUGUACCACUUCCUUGGAUCAUGACACUUGGGGAUUACUCUCUUAACCAUGAUAAUGCAAUGCAGAAAAUAUAUGUUUUUCCCUAAAAACUAGAGCAAACAAUUCUCAAAUAAGUAAAUGUUUAAGGGCAUUUUCCGAAUGUACUUAACAAAUGUAACAAUAUAGUACAAAUGUUAGUACUUAAAAUCUAUAGCUUUCAUAUCUAUGUGCAUAACAAGUGCAAUUGUCAACAAAAGUAUGUUCUUUGUGAAAUUUGUUCAAAAAGUCCUAAAUUUAUUAUACGAUAGUCAAUUUAGUCAUAAAUUUUUUCACAAUUUGCUAAUUUACUCUUCAUUUUUUUGACAAUCAUCCACAUAAAGUAUAAAAUUAAAUCAACACGACUAAAAUGUUUAGUAUUGAAUCGACAAAUCGUGUAAAGAUUUAGAACUAAAUUAGCACAAUUAAAAUAUUUAGAACUAAACUAACCGCUAUACAAAAAGUUUAGGAUUUUUGAACAAUUAUCCCCUCGUUGUUUUAUGAUGUUCAAGCCUCAAUCCUGGUUACCAUUCGACACCUAGAUUGCUGGAUAAGUAGGGUGUCUGGAAGAGCUCAUAUCAUGUCCGGUAGAACUGUUCAUAGGCUGAGCCUUCGCCUAAAUUUCGGCCGACAAGUUUCCAAGUUAGAGAUUUUUCAGCUUGAAAGCCAGCCGGUUCGCUUCAUCAACAAUGGGCCAAGACCGAUUUGGCUUGUGCUUAGACUAGAUUUUCCAAAAAAAUAGAAUUUAAUUUCUUUUUUAAAAGACUUGCUAAUCCAUCCUGCUCAUGCAACCAUCGCUACAAUGACUGAUGCCAGCUUCGUCGAGGGCUCGUACUAGUGAGUCCAAAAGCUUAUGCAGAGCUUUCUCCCGGAUACUAGCAUCCUUAGGCAGUUGAGCCCAUCUUUUACCGAAAGAUCACUGUUUCAGCAUGCUUUUGAUCACAAUUCAAGUUCGAUACAUAACUGCUUGCUAUCCUCGACCCUUUUUUUUAAAAACUUCGGCUGUGUUCGUUUCAUGGAAAAUAACUUCCAGGAAAAUGUUUUCCGGAUUUUCCGGUGUUCGUUUCACGGAAAAUCAACAACUCAAGGAAAAUAUUUUCCAUCAACAGUAAAAUUUACAUGCAAAUCUAAGGAAAAUAUUUUCCACUUCUGAAAAGUGAAAAACAUUUUCCACAACUUCCUCUGCCUUUUUUUUUUUUUCUUUCUUUCUUUCUUUUCUUUUCAUUUUUCUUCCUUAGCUUGGCCGGUGGCCAGCGACCGGCCGCGGUCGCGAGCCAACUCGAGCUCCGCCCCGGGCCGGCGAGGCUCCGCCUAGCCUGAUCUGUGGAAGCCCAACUCGCCCGAGCUCGACGAGCUCGAGCCUCACCAGAUCGGGCGAGGCGGAGCCUCACCGGCUUGGGGCGGAGCUCUGGCCUCACCAGAUCCGGCGAGCUGGGCGAGGCCCCGCCCAACUCGCCGGAUCUGGCGACCGGAUCUUGGUCGGCUCACCAUCGUCAAGCAUGCGGCGGCGGAGGAAGGAGGAAGGAGGAAGAAGGAGGAGCGACGGCGAAGGAAGGAGGAGCGGUGGCGGAGGAAGGAGGAGGAAGGAGAAGGAAAAGAAAAGGAAAAAAAAAAUAAAAAAAAUAAAAAAAUAAAAAAAUAAAGAAAUUAGUUAACGAACGGUGGAAAAUGUUUUCCACUCAAAAUUUAAGUAUUAGCCGAACACCGGAAAAUAUAACCAUUUUCCUGGAAAAUAACUUCUGGAAAAAUGUUUUCCGGAGAUGGUCAAUUUUCCGUGAAACGAACGGAGCCUUCGUCUAUGAAGCUUUUGAUAAGAGCACAUUCUAGCCUUAGUAGCUCGCAGGACCAUCAACUCAAUAUGCCCAUAAAUAACCGAAACAGGGAUAAUGCAAGUCUAAAAAAGCUUUUGAUAGCAUUUCGUCAGCACAAUGAAAAAAACAAAAAACCCAACAAAAAUAUAUGCUUAACAUCACUGGUCCAGGAAUUGCAAGACUAUUAUGACCUAAGAGCAGAGAUCUCUCUACGUCGCUAUGUCUUAUAGAAGGAACAGCUGAGUUUCAGCAAAUAAUACCACUACAACCAUGACAGAAGCAACAGCUGAGUAUAUAUGAUUCCUCCAUCAAGCUCCGAUAAAUGGUCGAAAUGGUUUCUCUAAGCCACAAAAAGAAAAAAGGCUCCUGUCCUAUUGUAUAGACUGACCCAGCAUGUUAGGAAGGGAAAUGAUCUCUAUCACUUGAAAAUGAGGGCAUCCCGUCCAGGUCCGACACCGAUAUAAUGUAUAGGUACACCGACAAGCUCUUCAACCCUUU
rnacentral:lncRNA from 1 species